UGGGGAAUAUUGCACAAUGGGCGAAAGCCUGAUGCAGCAACGCCGCGUGAGUGAUGAAGGCCUUCGGGUUGUAAAGCUCUGUCUUUUGGGACGAUAAUGACGGUACCAAAGGAGGAAGCCACGGCUAACUACGUGCCAGCAGCCGCGGUAAUACGUAGGUGGCAAGCGUUGUCCGGAUUUACUGGGCGUAAAGGAUGCGUAGGCGGAUUUUUAAGUGAGAUGUGAAAACCCUAAGCUUAACUUGGGGACUGCAUUUCAUACUGGAAAUCUAGAGUGCGGGAGAGGAGAAUGGAAUUCCUAGUGUAGCGGUGAAAUGCGUAGAGAUUAGGAAGAACACCAGUGGCGAAGGCGAUUCUCUGGACCGUAACUGACGCUGAGGCAUGAAAGCGUGGGUAGCAAACAGGAUUAGAUACCCUGGUAGUCCACGCCGUAAACGAUGAGUACUAGGUGUAGGAGGUAUCGACCCCUUCUGUGCCGCAGUUAACACAGUAAGUACUCCGCCUGGGAAGUACGAUCGCAAGAUUAAAACUCAAAUGAAUUGACGGGGUCAUAGCUGUUUCCU
rnacentral:rRNA from 1 species